GAAUUUAUGAAAUAUUAAUAAGUUUUUAUUUUUCUAUAUUACUAAAUUAAGAACAUUUUCAGUUUAGCAAUAUACUACCUAUACUCUUUAAGAUAUACUGGAACACUGCAGGUUAAAAAAUUCAUAACAAAUAUGUAAAAUCAUGACUUAGCUUAAAAUUCUUAAGAAAUAUUCUUCAGUUGAUAACUUGAUUUUAAUUUUUUUCGUAAAAGUAGUUGAUAACUUGAUUUAGUAGUAUAUUACUAACACUGUUAGAAUACACACUUGUAGCACUCAUUAUUUUUCAUCAGUUUCUAAAUUGUCAAACUAAAUGAAUAAAAAAUAUGGCAAAACAUGAAUCAAAUUCUUGUUUAUCUUAAUAUAUAGAGAUAUGGAAGAAGGUGGGAACAAUCUCGUGUGUAGAAGCCGAUGACAAAUGCUAAACCGGUUACCGGAGCGGUCAUCUUUAUGUAAAGAAGGCAACAACAAAGGCGAGUAUCGUGAGGUUAUUAGGAUAACACGUGUUAGUUACAGCAGCGGAAUUUGACCGUAACCGACACAUGACCUGGCACGUGGUGGACUAUUCCAUCUGGGUCCCUCAACCCUAAUAAAUAUCAAUAUUAGACGUUAUUUUGUGAAUAUAAUAUUUCAUGUCAAGAGGCAUGAUUACAAGUUAAGAAACUUUCUUAUAAAAACUAAUAAAACUAGAAACUUAUAAAAAAGUUCUCAUGGAUGUAGUUUGUAUGUUUUAUGUAAAUCAAUUGGGACUAAGCCUAAUUUAGAUAUACAACUCAGUAACUAAUUUUAAAGACUUAAAAUAUGACAAAAGUAUGUUACAAAUAUUCAUUUACAAAAAAAAAAAAGGUUACAAAUAUAAGAUUGAAAUUACAGGAUAAGGAAAAUAUGACUGAUGUGCUGACAGAUUACCAACAUCAUCAACGCUUUACAAAUCUCUUUUCGGUCUUCACAUUAGAAGUUGGAACUAUCCUCAAACAUGUAAAAUAAUAAAAGAAUAUAUAUGGUUAAAUUAAUGAAUUAUCAUAUACUCCCCAUGUUUAUAUAAUGUUCUAGCUUUAACACACAAAUUAAGAAAAGUUUACUUUUACCAAAAGUAUUUGAUUACAACAAAAAAUAA